UACGUAGGUGGCAAGCGUUGUCCGGAUUUAUUGGGCGUAAAGCGAGCGCAGGCGGUUCCUUAAGUCUGAUGUGAAAGCCAACGGCUCAACCGUGGAAGGUCAUUGGAAACUGGGGAACUUGAGUGCAGAAGAGGAGAGUGGAAUUCCAUGUGUAGCGGUGAAAUGCGUAGAUAUAUGGAGGAACACCAGUGGCGAAGGCGACUCUCUGGUCUGUAACUGACGCUGAGGCUCGAAAGCGUGGGGAGCAAACAGGAUUAGA
rnacentral:rRNA from 1 species